ensembl:lncRNA
AUGACAUCAGUAGCCUCUAAUGAUGUCAUGCUUUCUACUGACGUCAUCCCCUCUGACAUCAUGCGUCAGAGGUCAAUACAAGAGUUCUCACUUGGCUUUGGUCUCACUGUGUGCCUGAACACAUGGUUGAUAGAGUUUAGCAGUCAGCUCCUACCACUAAUAACCUUACACUUGACCAAGCCAUCAGACUUGAACAGGCUUAACGUGAAAAUAUUUGUCUCCUCAUUGUUAAACAGGCCUGGGAAAAACACAAACAAGAUGGAAAAUACAUUGGUUGUGUGUCUGGAUUGCACCAUCAAGACGGACGAUCAAUACACUCUCAUGACCACGGGACCUCAGGAGUGCAAACUUCAGAGGAUCCAACAACAGGAGUGCAGACCUCAGGGGACCCAACAACAGGAGUGCAGACCUCAGGGGACCCAACAACAGGAGUGCAGACCUCAGGGGACCCAACAACAGGAGUGCAGACCUCAGGGGACAAAAUUAGGGACUACCUAUUACAAGGUGAUGGAGAGGGCCCAAUUAACACCCCGUGAAAUACACACCGAGCCUAUCACCGAGAACAUGGAAUAUGGAUGGCAUGUCACCAAGGAGAACACAGCAGAGGCUUCAGCGCAAAGGAAAUUCGGAAGGCGGGCCACUGAUGUUACCGAUCCAUCUCGCGCUUUUAACGAGUGUCGAUAAAUGGUUCUCUAAAUCCACAGACUGCAUUUGAAUGGGGAGAGGUUUUAAAGUCAGUGAAGUAUUCCUCAUUCUCGUUCCUAAAAUGAGGUUUUGUAAAUGGUAAAUGGUAAAUGGACUUGAUUUUAUAUGGCGCUUUAUCCCCACACUGAAGCGGUCUCAAAGCGCUUUACAUAUCAGCUCAUUCACCCAAUCACUCUCACAUUUAUUUUUUUUUAUUUUAUUUAUUCAGUUCAUUUCCGACAUGGUUGCAUUAACAGAAAUUCAUUGGUUUUUUUUUUUUUUCUUGUCCUUUUGCAUGCCGGAAAGGGCGACGGAAAAAAGUAUUAUGCUUAUCCAGAUCCGUCCCCUAAUUUGAACACAGAUAAUUUUACAUCCAACCUCGUUUCUUCCUUUUUUUUUUUUUUUUUGUUGUUCACACACCAGUGGGACAGGACUGCCAUGCAAGGCGCUAGUCGACCACUGGGAGCAACUUAGGGUUCAGUGUCUUGCCCAAGGACAUUUCGACACAUAGUCAGGUAUUGAUUAAACAAUACGGCCGCCCGUAUUGUUUAAUCUGAGAGUGUCUGUUUUUAUGGUCAUUAUUAUAAGUAUCUAAGUUAGGUUCCUGUACCCAUCUAUAUGGUAAGGAUAAAUAACCUAAAAUAAUGACUCCUAAUCUCUAAUUAAAUAAUUAGAGGUUAGGGGUUUGUAGGGAAGGGGUGAGGGCUCUGUAGUGAUACGUUUUGAAGUUGUUAUGGGUUUAAUCCGUGAGUCUACGGUUUUCUCCUGCUAAUUCUUGUAACCAUCAGUGAAAUUACAAAAAAAGUUACUCUAAAUAAUUAGAGAUUAGCAUAGGGGUGAGGGUGAGGUUUAGUAAUUAGUUAGUAAUCUGUAGUAAUACGUUUUAAUGGGUUUACUCUGUGAGGCUACGGUUUUCUCUCACACACAGUCGGACGGUGCUCACGUCAGUCUACCUGAAGCUGCCGUGCAGCAACAAAUCUUGGACCGCUACUUGGUUGAGAUCAGACACACACCCGACUAUGUGAACCAGUCAAAAUUCCCACAAACACGGUGACAGUGAUGUAGCAGAUUCUAGUGUUGAUGUAUUCAAUUUCUUUUGUGUUUAUAAGGAACCUGUUUACACAUUUUUAUCUUUACCGUGCUAAAUACCAGAAACUAUCGGGAUACAUUUUUUCGUCUAUAUCGCCCAUGCCUAGUCUGGGAGCAUUUCACCCUUGACAUAAUAAAAAAACGAAGUGGCUAGAUGUACGUACA